UGGCGGCAGGCCUAACACAUGCAAGUCGAACGCUCGUAGCAAUACGAGAGUGGCAGACGGGUGAGUAACGCGUGGGAACCUUCCCAGUGGUACGGAAUAGCUCAGGGAAACUUGAGGUAAUACCGUAUACGCCCCUAGGGGGAAAGAUUUAUCGCCAUUGGAUGGGCCCGCGUCGGAUUAGCUAGUUGGUGAGGUAACGGCUCACCAAGGCGACGAUCCGUAGCUGGUUUGAGAGAAUGACCAGCCACACUGGGACUGAGACACGGCCCAGACUCCUACGGGAGGCAGCAGUGGGGAAUCUUGGACAAUGGGCGCAAGCCUGAUCCAGCCAUGCCGCGUGAGUGACGAAGGCCUUAGGGUUGUAAAGCUCUUUUGGCGGGGACGAUAAUGACGGUACCCGCAGAAUAAGUCCCGGCUAACUUCGUGCCAGCAGCCGCGGUAAUACGAAGGGGACUAGCGUUGUUCGGAAUUACUGGGCGUAAAGCGCACGUAGGCGGAUUUGUAAGUCAGGGGUGAAAUCCCGGGGCUCAACCUCGGAACUGCCUUUGAUACUGCAAGUCUCGAGUCCGAUAGAGGUGGGCGGAAUUCCUAGUGUAGAGGUGAAAUUCGUAGAUAUUAGGAAGAACACCGGUGGCGAAGGCGGCCCACUGGAUCGGUACUGACGCUGAGGUGCGAAAGCG
rnacentral:rRNA from 1 species